ACUAAUUGAGGCAUAUUUUGUGACUAUGGCAGAGGCAAAAAAGUACAAACAAGAUGCAUUUGGAGAAAAUGGUUGAUUCCCUUUAAGGAAUCAAGGUUAGCCUGCAGAGCUAAUAAAAGCCCCUUGGGAAAACUUGCCUGAUACCUUGUCUACACACUCUCUGUACAGGAUUGCUAAUCUGUGGUUGUUUUGGGGUGAGAUAAACAUUUAAAUUGGUGAACUUUGAGAGGAAAAUUAGAAGACAAGUAUCCUCAUUUCCACCUGGAUCCAGUCUUUCUUCCUUAUUACUUUUAUUAACAAUAUCAGUUAAGGUUUAUAUGGAUGUCUUGCUUUGGCCUGUACAAAAAACUACUUUGUAUAUGCCUUAUUUUAUUAAUUUUGCUUCUGAAUUUCAUCAAAUUCUCUGAUCAUAACUCUAUAUUCUUGUAAGGAAUGCUCAGAAUUAUACUAUUUCACUCCAAAUUUUAUUAUUAUUGAGACGAAACUGGGUAUAGAAAGUUGUGGGACCAGUUUGUAAUUUAUUGCUUUAAAAUUUGGUCAAGCCACUCAAAUUCUCUAGCUGUACCUAUGAAAUAGCUUUAAUAUUUCAAUCCCCUGCAUUUUCUUUGAAUAAUAUGGAGUUUGAAUUGAAGUGGUCCUGAAUUUGAGUGCUGCAUAUGCUACUUUUGAGAUAUGUGAUCUUGAGCAAGUUGCUUAAUCACAUUAAACCUCAAUUCUCUCAUCUUUAAAAUAGAAAAAAUAAUAGCUACUUUACAGUGUUGAGAAAAGAAUAAGAUGAAACAGUUUAUUAAAAACAUAGAAGAGUGCUUAAGACAUAAUAAAGUCUACAUAAAUUGUGCCUAUUGUUAUUACUAAUAAAAAAAAAAGAAAUUCUACGUGUCAGGAAUUUGAACAAAUUACAGCUGGAUUUGCAUAUUUCUUCCACAAGAUGUAUGUGGUCCCAUCUGAUAAUAGGGAAUUGGUUGGUAACUGGAAUCUUCUUGGAAACCUCUUAAAUCACAGAUCUUGCACUUGUACUGGGAUAAUCUGGAGUGUGUGCUCCUCUGAGUUUGUUGACCAAAUCACCUACAGGUGAACUCUCCAUAUAUGUAUUUUCCUAGUCAAUUCCUACACUGACCUCAAGCAAACACUGAUCAGCUUUCUGUCAUAAUAGAUGCGAUUUACUUUUUUAGAAUUUAAUAAAACUCAAAUUAUACUGUAUGCAUCCUUUUGUGUCUGGAUUGCUUUUUUUUCUCUGCCUUACAUUGUUGAAUAUAUUCUAGGUAUGUUUUACUAAUUGCUUGGUUGUAUAUUAAUGCAUACUGCAUUUUGUUUAUCCAUUCAACUAUUGAUGGAAAUUGGAGUUGUUUUCAGUUUCUGGUUAUAAAUAAAACAGCUAUGAACAUUUACAU
rnacentral:lncRNA from 1 species